rnacentral:rRNA from 1 species
GAUGAACGCUGGCGGCGUGCUUAACACAUGCAAGUCGAGCGGACGGACGAGAAUCUUGUGUCUCUGAUGUUAGCGGCGCACGGGAGAGUAACAUGUGGAUAACCUCCCUAUCAGACUGGGACAACUACGGGAAACCGGAGCUAAUACCGGAUAAUAUUUUGCACCCCAUGGUUCAAAAGUGAAUGACGGUCUUGCUGUUACUUAUAGAUGGUUCCGCGCUGCAUUAGCUGGUGGGUAAGGUAACGGCUUUCCAAGGCAAGGAGGCAUAGCCGACCAAGGAGAGUGAUCGGCGACACUGGAAGUGAAACACGAGCCAGACUCCUACGGGAGGCAGCAGUAGGGAACCUUGGGCAACAGGCGAGAGCCUGACGGAGCAACGCGGCGAGAGUGGAGAAGGCAUUGGGAUCGUGAAGCACUGUUAUUAGGGGAGAACAUCUGUGUAAGCAGCUGUAGACGUAUUGACGGUACCUGGUCAAAAAGCCACGGCUAACUACGUG